rnacentral:rRNA from 1 species
GAACCUUCCACCCCCCAAGCCAAGCCAAGCCAAGCCAAGCCAAGUGGCGGCCGCUGCUACGGCUACAAGUCUCUCCUCCAGCGCUGCCGCCGCUGCUGGUGCUAGGCGUGCCUCGUCACGGGUCUAGGCCCCCCGCGCGCCCAUUCCCCCGCCCUUUUGUCACGCGCAAGCCGUGCCCACUUGCGCCACAUCAAGGCUUGCACGGGCGAAAAACCCCAUCCCAUCUCCGGUGCCAGAAGGCGCGGCCCUCUGUUGGUGGGUCCUGCCGCGGCCAUGAGCCACCGGAUGAUGAUGAAUCCGGUGAAGGUGGAGGGCGAUGGGCGGGCCGGCGGCGGAGGCGCGCCGAGGCCGAUGGACGGGCUGGGCGACGCCGGGCCCACGCCGUUCCUCGCCAAGACCUACGACAUGGUGGACGACCCCGCCACCGACGCCGUCGUCUCCUGGAGCGCCACCAACAACAGCUUCGUCGUCUGGGACCCGCACCUCUUCGCCACCGUGCUGCUGCCGAGGUACUUCAAGCACGGCAACUUCUCCAGCUUCGUCCGACAGCUCAACACCUAUGUAAGUAUCAGACCUCUCCUCGCUGCUUUGCUUGGCCCUUUGUGCCCCAAAAUCGAUUCGUUGAUGCCAAUUGCAAGGGUUAGGAAUGAGUGGAGCUUGAUGGGAUUACUCAAAGUACUGGAGUAUUUGCUCACCCUGGGAUUACUGAAAUUUUGAUUCAUCCAGUUUUGCCUCGUGUUCACACAGUCCUGACGACUCCGAUGCCGCCAGUUGUUGGCUGUAGUUCACAAGCUGUGGCAGGGGAACAGCUACAGAUAAAUAGAUCAAGCUAAUUAGGGGGUGAUUGACAGGACAUCCGUAUAGGUUUGGGAGGUCACAGUGGCAUUGCUGCGGCUUGGGGACUUUGGGGGGGGUGAAAAGGAGGUCCACUGCAGUUCAAACUUUCGCUUCCAUUAACAUCAAAGUACUCGUAUAGACAAAUACUCCCUACUUACAUCCAUCCUUACCGAUGCUGUUUUAACUUCACUCAAGUUAUGCUGCAAGAUAUAACAUAGGUGUCCACCUAAGUGCCCAAGAAGAAAUAACCUGUAGGAUGGUAGCCGAUACUUGGUGGUUCGUGUCAUGUUUUCGUUUUAUGCAACGAUUCAGUAAAAAAAAUAUCCUCGAAUUAUGGCAACCAAAAUUGUAAGUUGUGAGUAAAAUUUUCAAGCCUACAGAGUCAAUUGAUAUCAACUUGGAAUUUACGAGCAUGUGAUAAUCUUCAAGCCAGCUGGUAGUUCGUGUGCUGCUUUUCUUUUUAGGUAGUGGUUCAUAAAAACCAUUGAAUUAACCAAAGUUGCAAGUGCUUGAAUCAAAUCCCAAACCUACAGAAUUAGUUGAGUGCAAUUUGGAAUUUACAAGCACAUAGUAAAAUUGAAAGAUAAAGAAGGUGAUGGGUGUGUUCAGAACUUGAGAAGAUGGACAAAAUUUUAAGCCUUGACAUUUUGGCCAAAAGAGCAGAAAGAGUAAAAGAGGAAGUUUGUUAUACUACUGUCUGUGUUAGCAUUGCUGAUAGUGUGGGACUGAGGGCUAUUCUUUUAUCAUUAUUCUCUUACCGUAGAAACUUGCGGAUGUUGGAAGACCAGAUUUUACAGGAUGAUUGUUGCAUUUCCAGGAGAACCUUCAGAUUUUACGAGAUUUGAGCUAUGAUUUAAUCCGUGGGUGGUAGUUGUAUUGACCUUAUAAAUCUUUGAGAGCAUGUGCGCAGCCGCCAACUGGAUGCUUUCAUAUGAUGAUGUUAGCUCCGAGUAGGUGUCACACAUUCUAGUUAGGCUAUCACCUGAUCUUUUCAGUAAAAUCUUCCAGUCGAAACUUCAUUUGUUUGCCUUGAGUAAAAUCUUCCAAUUCUAGUUAGGCUAUCACCUGAUCUUUUCAGUAAAAUCUUCCAGUCGAUACUUCAUUUGUUUGCCUUGAGUAAAAUCCUCCAAUUGAUACUUCAUUUUGUCUUGAGUAAGCUCCCAGUUCAUACAAUAUUAAAGGAUGAAGAUGAAGAGGAAAGUUGACAAAUAAAGUCUUCCAAUUGAUACUCCAUUCUGCCUUGAGUAAGCUUCCAGUUCAUACAAUAUUAAAGGAUGAAGAUGAAGAGGAAAGUUGACAAAUAAAGUGAAGAACUGAAAUCAGCUAACUGAAAAAUGUAUCAAGUGAGUAAAAUCUUCCAAUUGAUAUCUUGCCUUGAGUAAGCUUCCAGUUCAUACAAUAUUAAAGGAUGAAGAUGAAGAGGAAAGUUGACAAAUUAAGUGAAGAACUGAAAUCAGCAAACUGAAAAAUGUAUCAUGAGAACUGAAACUUGUCAUAAAGAGGGCUUCAGAAAGGUGGAUCCUGACAGGUGGGAAUUUGCAAAUGAGGGAUUCUUGCGAGGGCAGAGGCACCUUCUCAGAAAUAUUAAGCGCCGGAAACCUACACAUGGGUCUCAGAAUCAGCAAUCUCUUGGCUCCUACCUUGAGGUGGGGAACUUUGGACAUGAUGUGGAGAUAGAUCAUUUGAAAAGAGACAGGCAGCUCUUGAUGGCUGAAGUGGUGAAGCUCAGGCAGGAGCAACAGAACACAAGGUCAGAUCUGCAAGCCAUGGAAAAGAGGCUGCAAGGAACUGAGCAGAAGCAACAGCAGAUGAUGUCAUUCUUGGCGCGAGUCAUGCAGAACCCCAUGUUCAUACACCAUCUGCUCUCCCAGAGUGAGAUGCGGAAGGAGCUCGAAGAUGCCAUCUCAAAUAAAAGACGGCGCCGCAUCGACCAGGGACCUGAAGCUGUCGAUAGCAUGGGCACUGGCUCUACCCUGGAGCAAGGGUCACAGGUAAUGUUUGAGCAGCAGGAGCCAGUGGACUCGCUCGUGAACGGUGUCAUAUCCGAUCUUGAAAGCUCGUCCGUCGAUACAAAGGGAGCUGAGGUGCAGCAGAGUGUCGCUUCCAGCCGUUCGGAGCAACUGAGAGGCAGGCCCAGUGGAGAGCUAAAUGAUGAUUUCUGGGAGGACCUGCUGCAUGAAGGGGGGCUCGGCGAGGAGGCCAGCAACCUGGUGGUUCCAGAUGACAUGAACUUGUUGGCUGAGAAGCUGGACUAGCUCGACUCAAAGGACGCGAAUUCCGGACAAUAAUCCAUCGCAUUCUAUUGCCGAGCAGCCCUGAGAAUCCUUACCAGAAUGCCUGUUGUUAUAUAUGUAUAUAUGUCUGCUUCGGCCAUGAUCAGUCAGUCGAGUAGAUCACUGCUGCCUUUGGUGAUGAUGCCACCCUAUUAUCUUAUUGUCGAUCUUAUUUUCGUCAAUGCCGUGUUUAGUUCAACUUCUGGGAGGAUUCUAGUUGGGUUGCUUGCCACUGUCUGCUGUGCAAAGAUUUUAGUCGGAUUGGGCUGUAUGCCUAGUUUUCUGAUAGCUAAUGUCAUCCAUAUGAGAAUAAAUAUGAUAGUACCCAGUAUAUAGCACGUAUAUGUGCAGUGAUUGUAUCUGGAUGAUAUCGAUGUACAGUAGUAUCAUGUUGUGCCUAUGUGUAAUGUGCCUGCUACCAUCUUCUUUUAGGCAACUGUGCUUGUUGCUUCCUUAGGGAGGCUUUGUACUGUAUCCUGUAUUCCUCACUAAGGAAUUGGUAUCUAAAGUUGCUCACAUUAAGAAAGUUUAUCAGAAGUAAAAAGCAUUAAUUCCUGACUUGUAAACCCUGAUGCAUUGCAUUAGAGCUGUAAGUUUAUCACGGAGUAUGUCACAAUUUUCUAUUGUUUUCUCU